rnacentral:rRNA from 1 species
AACGAACGCUGGCGGCAUGCCUAACACAUGCAAGUCGAACGAGACCUUCGGGCCUAGUGGCGCACGGGUGCGUAACGCGUGGGAACCUGCCCUUAGGUUCGGAAUAACUCCCCGAAAGGGGUGCUAAUACCGGAUAAUGUCUUCGGACCAAAGAUUUAUCGCCUUUGGAUGGGCCCGCGUUGGAUUAGCUAGUUGGUAGGGUAAAAGCCUACCAAGGCGACGAUCCAUAGCUGGUCUGAGAGGAUGAUCAGCCACACUGGGACAGAGACACGGCCCAGACUCCUACGGGAGGCAGCAGUGGGGAAUAUUGGACAAUGGGCGAAAGCCUGAUCCAGCAAUGCCGCGUGAGUGAUGAAGGCCUUAGGGUUGUAAAGCUCUUUUACCCGGGAUGAUAAUGACAGUACCGGGAGAAUAAGCUCCGGCUAACUCCGUG